rnacentral:rRNA from 1 species
GACGAACGCUGGCGGCGUGCUUAACACAUGCAAGUCGAACGGAAAGGCCCUGCUUUUGUGUGGUGCUCGAGUGGCGAACGGGUGAGUAACACGUGAGUAACCUGCCCUUGAUAUUGUGCUAACUUCAGGGAACUAGGACUAAUACCGGACUGGAACUCCUGCUUCAUGCUAGAGCUUGGAAAGUUUCGGCGGUUGGGGAUGGACUCGUGGCUUAUCAGCUUGUUGUUGGGGUAGUGGCUUACCAAGUCUUUGCCGGGUAGCCGGCCUGAGAGGAUGACCGGACACACUGGGACUGAGAUAAGGCACGGACUCCUACCGGAGGCAGCAGGGGGGAAUAGUACAAAGUAGGCGGAAGCCUGAUGCAGCAAAGCCGCGUGGGGGAUGACAGGCUUCGGGUUGGAAUCCGCUUUCGCCUGUGACGAAGAGUGAGUGACGGUAAUGGGUAAAGAAGCACCGGCUAACUACGUG